rfam:Aspergillus rambellii strain SRRC1468 contig00546, whole genome shotgun sequence.
GACAAUUUGGCCGAGUGGUUAAGGCGCGGGACUGCUAUAUAGCACUCGACUAAGCAAGUCUGGACGUUUCAUGGUUAACCAUGAAAGUAAUCCCGUUCAUUCGUGAGCGCAGGUUCGAAUCCUGCAGUUGUCG